rnacentral:rRNA from 1 species
GACGAACGCUGGCGGCGUGCUUAACACAUGCAAGUCGAGCGAGUGGAUUCCCUUCGGGGAUGAAGCUAGCGGCGGACGGGUGAGUAACACGUGGGCAACCUGCCUUAUAGAGGGGGAUAGCCUUCCGAAAGGAAGAUUAAUACCGCAUAACGUCAGAUUAUCGCAUGGUAGACUGAUCAAAGGAGCAAUCCGCUAUAAGAUGGGCCCGCGUCGCAUUAGCUAGUUGGUGAGGUAACGGCUCACCAAGGCGACGAUGCGUAGCCGACCUGCGAGGGUGAUCGGCCACAUUGGGACUGAGGCACGGCCCAGACUCCUACGGGAGGCAGCAGUGGGGAAUAGUGCACAAUGGUGGAAACCCUGAUGCAGCAACGCCGCGUGAGUGAUGAAGGCCUUCGGGUUGUAAAGCUCUUUGAUCAGGGACGAUAAUGACGGUACCUGAAGAACAAGCCACGGCUAACUACGUGCCAGCCGCCGCCGUAACAC